CCUCCUUCUUGUCCAGAGAUUGAAGCCACAUUCAUAAGGGCCCAGCAUGUCUCUGCAGGAAGGCAGGGCAUCCCACGAUAUCACCAGCUCCUCUAGGAGUAUAGGAGCCAAGGAGCUGCUGAGACCUGCUGAUCACCCACUCACUCCCCUCCAGCCACCCCAGAGCCAUGGCUCCCGAGGCCACAUCUUGGGUAAGGAGGACAGGACCCCAUUCCCACCCGAGCCCAUCUCCCAUCUCAGCCACCACCGAGGCUCACUCCCCACCCCAAACUACACCUCAUCCCUGUCCCCAUGCCUGGCCUCCUCCUCAGACAUGGCUCCAUCACAGCAAUUCCCCAUCCACAGCCCCUG
rnacentral:lncRNA from 10 species